rnacentral:rRNA from 1 species
AACGCGAAGAACCUUACCUGGGUUUGACAUCCUCGGACCGGCAUAGAGAUAUGCUUUUUGUAGCAAUACAACCGAGAGACAGGUGCUGCAUGGCUGUCGUCAGCUCGUGUGGUGACAUGUUGGGUUAAGUCCCGCAACGAGCGCAACCCUUGUCUUUAGUUGCCAGCAUUCAGUUGGGCACUCUAGAGAGACUGCCGUGGUUAACACGGAGGAAGGUGGGGAUGACGUCAAGUCCUCAUGGCCUUUAUAUCCAGGGCGACACACGUGAUACAAUGGACGAUACAGAGGGACGCGAAGCCGCGAGGUGGAGCUAAUCUCAAAAAGUCGUUCUCAGUUCGGAUUGGAGUCUGCAACUCGACUCCAUGAAGUUGGAAUCGCUAGUAAUCGCGGAUCAGCACGCCGCGGUGAAUACGUUCCCGGGCCUUGUACACACCGUACGUC